UCUCGGAGAAGCGUCUUCCGCGUUGGACCGUGUACAAGUCUCUUGGAACAGAGCGUCAUAGAGGGUGAGAAUCCCGUCUUUGACACGGACUACCAAUGCUUUGUGAUGCGCUCUCAAAGAGUCGCGUUGUUUGGGAAUGCAGCGCAAAAUGGGAGGUGAAUUCCUUCUAAAGCUAAAUAUUGGCGAGAGACCGAUAGCGAACAAGUACCGUGAGGGAAAGAUGAAAAGCACUUUGGAAAGAGAGUUAAACAGUACGUGAAAUUGCUAAAAGGGAAACGCUUGAAGUCAGUCGCGUCGUCCGGAACUCAGCUUUGCUUCGGCUUAGUGCACUUUCCGGUUGACGGGCCAGCAUCGAUUUUGACCGCUGGAAAAGGGCUGGAGGAAUGUGGCACCUUCGGGUGUGUUAUAGCCUUCAGUCGCAUACAGCGGUUGGGAUCGAGGAACGCAGCGCGCCUUAUGGCUGGGGUUCGCCCACAUUCGCGCUUAGGAUGCUGGCAUAAUGGCUUUAAACGACCCGUCUUGAAACACGGACCAAGGAGUCUAACAUGCCUGCGAGUGUUUGGGUGGAAAACCCGAGCGCGUAAUGAAAGUGAAAGUUGAGACCUCUGUCGUGGAGGGGCAUCGACGCCCGGACCUGACGUUUUCUGAAGGAUCCGCGGUAGAGCAUGUAUGUUGGGACUCGAAAGAUGGUGAACUAUGCCUGAAUAAGGUUGAGCCAGAGGAAACUCUGGUGGAGGCU
rnacentral:rRNA from 1 species